rnacentral:misc_RNA from 1 species
GUGGAAGACUGGAAGUGGCGAUUGUUUUGCUGGUGGGUGUUAAAGAUGUGGGCAAGUUCAGAAGGAGGCGCUCCAGAGGUCACUCUAGAAACUUCCAUGGGCUCUUUCACUGUCGAGCUUUAUUACAAGCAUGCUCCAAAAACUUGCAGAAACUUCCUCGAACUAUCUCGCAGAAGUUAUUACAAUAACGUGAAAUUUCACAGAAUUAUUAAGGAUUUUAUAGUGCAAGGUGGGGAUCCGACGGGAACUGGAAGAGGUGGAGAAUCCAUUUAUGGUCCAAAGUUUGAGGAUGAGAUAAGGCCCGAGUUGAAGCACACUGGAGCUGGGAUCAUAUCCAUGGCAAAUGCAGGUCCAAAUACCAAUGGAAGCCAGUUCUUUAUUACUUUGGCACCAACUCCAUCUCUAGAUGGAAAACAUACCAUUUUUGGUAGAGUAUGUAGGGGAAUGGAAGUAAUCAAAAGACUUGGUAGCGUUCAAACUGACAAUAAUGAUAGGCCUAUCCAUGACGUGAAGAUAUUACGGACGUCGGUAAAAGAUUAAUGAUUUGAAGGUUGUUCCCAAUGCAGACAUUUCUAUUUCCAUGGAAAGCCUCUAGCAAUUGGUUUCCUGGGUAUUCUCAUUGAGAAAUAUGAUUGAUUGUAGUACUUGAAUUGCAUUUAGAAGCAGAAGAAAAACAAGUUCGUGUUUUGUAUUUUUCUCCUGUUCUCCCCUUAAAAUGGCUAAUGCUUUUCUGUUUCUACCNNNNNNNNNNAGCCUCCCUUUAUAGGCUUGCCAUCUUUUUUUUGUGCAAAAUUGUUUUUCAUAAUUUUUGGUUAUGAAAUAAAUGUCAAGUAAAAGAUGGCAAGCCUAUAAAGGGAGGCU